AGUAACGACGUGAGGAACCUGCCUUCCAGAGGGGGACGAACAGUUGGAAACGACUGCUAAUACCGCAUGAUGUGUUUCGAUGGCAUCAUCGAGACACCAAAGAUUUAUCGCUGGAAGAUGGCCUCGCGUCUGAUUAGCUAGUAGGCGGGGUAACAGCCCACCAAGGCGACGAUCAGUAGCCGGCCUGAGAGGGUGAACGGCCACAUUGGGACUGAGACACGGCCCAAACUCCUACGGGAGGCAGCAG
rnacentral:rRNA from 1 species